rnacentral:rRNA from 1 species
UCCAGGUGUAGCGGUGAAAUGCGUAGAGAUCUGGAGGAAUACCGGUGGCGAAGGCGGCCCCCUGGACAAAGACUGACGCUCAGGUGCGAAAGCGUGGGGAGCAAACAGGAUUAGAUACCCUGGUAGUCCACGCCGUAAACGAUGUCGACUUGGAGGUUGUGCCCUUGAGGCGUGGCUUCCGGAGCUAACGCGUUAAGUCGACCGCCUGGGGAGUACGGCCGCAAGGUUAAAACUCAAAUGAAUUGACGGGGGCCCGCACAAGCGGUGGAGCAUGUGGUUUAAUUCGAUGCAACGCGAAGAACCUUACCUACUCUUGACAUCCAGAGAACUUAGCAGAGAUGCUUUGGUGCCUUCGGGAACUCUGAGACAGGUGCUGCAUGGCUGUCGUCAGCUCGUGUUGUGAAAUGUUGGGUUAAGUCCCGCAACGAGCGCAACCCUUAUCCUUUGUUGCCAGCGGUCCGGCCGGGAACUCAAAGGAGACUGCCAGUGAUAAACUGGAGGAAGGUGGGGAUGACGUC